AACGCAUAUUGCGCUCUCUGGUAUUCCGGAGAGCAUGCUUGUUUGAGUAUCAGUAAACACCCCCUCAGAACUCUUUGAUUUUCGAAUCUUGGAGCUCUGGAUUUGAGUGAUCCCAACGCGUUCUUUCGCAGAACAUGGCGGGCCACUUGAAAUGCAGGUGCAGCUGGACUUUCUUCUGAGCUAAAAGCAUAUUUAUUUAGUCCUGUCAACACUUGUGUUGCGGAUUAUUACUUCUGCUGCAGCUAACAUAAAGGUUGAUUGUUCAAAUGCUGACUGAUGCAGGAUUUAUCAGUGGCGCCAAGCUAUCUGUUAAACUCGAUCUCAAAUCAAGUAAGACUACCCGCUGAACUUAA
rnacentral:misc_RNA from 1 species